UACAGAGGAGCCAAGCGUUGUCCGGAUUGACUGGGCGUAAAGCGCACGCAGGCGGAUGCGCGCGUGGGGUGUGAAAUCUGGCCGCUUAACGGCCAGGCGCCAUCCCAUACGGCGCGUCUGGAGUGAUGCAGAGGUCGAUGGAAUUGCCGGUGUAGUGGUGAAAUGCGUAGAGAUCGGCAGGAACACCCAGGGGGAAACCAGUCGACUGGGCAUCUACUGACGCUGAGGUGCGAGAGCGUGGGGGAGCGAACCGG
rnacentral:rRNA from 1 species